rnacentral:misc_RNA from 1 species
AGAUGAAGAACGCAGCGAAAUGCGAUAAGUAAUGUGAAUUGCAGAAUUCAGUGAAUCAUCGAAUCUUUGAACGCACAUUGCGCCCGCCAGCAUUCUGGCGGGCAUGCCUGUUCGAGCGUCAUUUCAACCCUCGACAUCCCCUUGGGGAAGUCGGCGUUGGGGACCGGCAGCACACCGCCGGCCCCGAAAUUGAGUGGCGGCCCGUCCGCGGCGACCUCUGCGUAGUAAUCCAACCUCGCACCGGAACCCCGACGUGGCCACGCCGUAAAACACCCAACUUUCUGAACGUUGACCUCGGAUCAGGUAGGAAUACCCGCUGAACUUAAGCAUAUCAAUAAGCGGAGGA